UGGGGAAUAUUGGACAAUGGACCAAGAGUCUGAUCCAGCAAUUCUGUGUGCACGAUGAAGUUUUUCGGAAUGUAAAGUGCUUUCAGUUGGGAAGAAAAAAAUGACGGUACCAACAGAAGAAGUGACGGCUAAAUACGUGCCAGCAGCCGCGGUAAUACGUAUGUCACGAGCGUUAUCCGGAUUUAUUGGGCGUAAAGCGCGUCUAGGUGGUUAUGUAAGUCUGAUGUGAAAAUGCAGGGCUCAACUCUGUAUUGCGUUGGAAACUGUAUAACUAGAGUACUGGAGAGGUAAGCGGAACUACAAGUGUAGAGGUGAAAUUCGUAGAUAUUUGUAGGAAUGCCGAUGGGGAAGCCAGCUUACUGGACAGAUACUGACGCUGAAGUGCGAAAGCGUGGGUAGCAAACAGGAUUAGAUACCCUGGUAGUCCAUGCCGUAAACGAUGAUUACUAGGUGUUGGGGGUCGAACCUCAGCGCCCAAGCAAACGCGAUAAGUAAUCCGCCUGGGGAGUACGUACGCAAGUAUG
rnacentral:rRNA from 1 species